GGGCUUCCUUUGACAGGCAGAAACCUUAAAUAGAACCAGACUGAUGACAGUCAUCUGCUGAGACUGAGCUGGGUUUAUAGAGGGGAGAGAGGGGGACAGAGAAAGAGAGAGACCGGUGUUGAAGUUGAAGCAGCUGAAAACAGUGAGGUCCACAGCAGCGGAACGUCUGCAGCUGUGAUCCAGAGGAACCUACUGGAUGAUGGAGCUCAGGGACUCCCUCAGAAGACUGUGUUUGUUAUUCUAAUGGGACAUGAUGAUUCAAAGGUAAUGACAGAGACAGAAAGAGGAUGGAGAAGGAAGGUAAGGUGCUCUAUGUACCAGUACACCCUGCAGUCAGAAUCUGUAGCAGCAUAACUAAGAGGGACCUCAGUGAGCUGGAAAAGUAAUCGGGAACUACACUCUCUUCAAAGACCUACUCCGAUAAAAUUCAUGUUUUUCUUGUUGUUUUCUUGAUCAUAUGGCAUUUUUCUGAUGCUACAGGACAAAUCAUUAGCAAACUAAGUGUGGAAUUGCAUUUCUGAGUAUUUCUGCAUUUAAAUCGCUGUGAACCUAUGACAGACCCAAAUGGCAAGUUGAGAUACAGUGAGAUUACCUACAUCAAAUGUAGGCCCCACCCUGCAGGCCAGACUCGGAGAAGUAGAGAGGGGGACAAGUGUGGGAGGUAGGGAAUUGCAAUACUGGUAAUUAUGAUAAUAACUUUCAUCAUGCCCCCAGACAUUAGUGUCCUAGCUGAAUAGCUCCUAUAUUACCUGCCACUUCUACUACAUUAGCCAUUUCAGGCUACAAGCUAAUGUGAGGAGGAGUGUGCAGAGCAGUGCUGUCUCUGCUCACGAUGCAGGGGUGAAUUGCUAAAGAGGUACUGAAGUGCUGCAGAAGAAAAGCCCUCAAAAAUGACAGGUAAUGUGAUUUUGGCUAAAAACUUUAUAAUCACAAUUUAAAGACCAUUGAUGAUGCUUUUAGUUUAAAAAAAGAAGAAAAAAAAACGUUCUCAGUGACUUUAUGACAUGAUGGUGCCUGUCCAUGGAGAGCUUGAGGCUUGUUGAUUAUGGGAGCCUAACCAAAUGUGUUGGCAAUGUUGAUGGACUACAGGUUUCAACUGGGCAGGCAUCAGGAUGGGAUUUUAUUGAUUUUAUUGAUUUGGAUUGUAUGUGAAGUUAAUUUAUAUCUCUGAGUUUGAAACAUAAAAUAACGAGGUCUCCUUGAAUGAGAGUAAAUGAUACAGGUGCACAGGUGAAACUACCCACUGAAGGCUGAAUUUAAACAGCAACCUUAGGUGACUGACGCAUUUCUUUCCUGAAGGUUCGGACUAUUUCUAUUCUGUCAGUGUGUCAGCUACCCAGCUGGAUUAUUCAGGCGCUCCAAUAAAUCCCAUCAUCAGCACACCCCCACCACUGUAAGGUCAGCCAAGGUCGUAACAAGUGUCCCUGGCUGUAGUCUGGUCUUCCUCCUAAUACUCCUUAUACCCCUACACUCUCUCCCUCUCUCUCUCUCUCUCUCUCUCUCUCUAUCUCUCUAUCUCUCUCUCUCUCUCUCUCUCUCUCCCAUCUGGUAACCUCUCUUGCCCUUUUUUUCUCCUUCAUACCAUCUCCAGCACACACACACACACACACACACACACACACACACACACACACACACACGCACACACACACACUUUAUUUUAUGUCUCUUUUCAGUAUUCAUGUUGCAGAGCAAAAGGCCUUUCUUCUUCUAUAUUUUAUGAAGUGUUCGAUGGCCUCUCUCCCUCUCAGUGGUAUAAUAUAUGUGUCCUUUAGGCUUCCAUUAACUGAUCCCCAUCUCACACACACACUUACAAUACACACUCAGACACACAAACAUAGCAGCCUCACCCACUCAGGGUAAAAUAGAUGGACAAAGUAUAGCCUUUUGGCAGGCCUGGCAUGAUGUGUGUGUGUGUGUGUGUGUGUGUGUGUGUGUGUGUGUGUGUGUGUGUGUGUGUGUGUGUGUGUGUGUUUGUUGUCCAUUAGACUGAAAGCCUUCCUCAAACUGAUUUCACUAUGCGUCUAAUGAUAUUUAACCCACCAGGCUAUUUUGAAAUGGGCCCUGGCUGUAAAGACACCUGAUGUAUGGUCCUGUGUGUGUGUGUGUGUGUGUGUGUGUGUGUGUGUGUGACCUGUUCCCACACAUCUACACACCAGGGCUGACACACACACACACACAUGCAGAGUCAUAAACUUGUGUGUUACUCUGCCCUUGCUGCUUUUAUCCUUAACUCCAGCAUCUAUCUACCUGAGGGUGAGCAGCUCAUUCAUUAGUUUUUCUGCUUCACAUUAUUAGCUCUGUUUAACCCCCAACAGUAUCUGCCCUGUAGAUCUGCUCAACUCAGCCGCAAUCAUAAUGAAACUGCAAAACCAACACUAAUAAAUAUGACUUACUCCUGCUAAGCAAGGUGUUUACCAUUUACAGAAAUGUAGUAUUGAUGGAGUGGAGAAUAAUGAUUAAAUUAAGCAGACUGAAAUCCACAACAUGAAUAUUUUAAGCCUGUACUGAUAACAGAUAAUAUACCUGACUGCCAAUACCAAUAAAAUAACCAAGACCUGUGGUUAAUGCAAACCCGAUAGUUAGAUAAGCAAAGAUAGAUGUAUUGAUCUCAAGAGGUGGAGACAGUCAAUUAUUUUAAAAACUCAGUUUACCAUUCAGUUGUUCAAUAACAAUAAUAGAGUCAGUAUUUUUUUUUUUUUAAACUCACUGAAAAGUUUGACUUUGGCCAGUGGGGUCCCCUUUGUCUGGAGCUUCAGUGAGAUGCUGAAGUCUUUAUCCAGGUGGACACUAUAAUUUAAAGCAGAUUCUGACCCAAUUUAGGGUCUCUGCAAGUUUGGUCAACCAUUAACCCUUUAAAGAUGUUGUUUGUCAAGCAGUAGGCCAGUCAAGCCGACCUGAUCAGCUGCUCUCCACGACUCGGAUGAAAUGUUGUCUCGUCAAAAAUUCAGCUUUUUGUGAGUGAAUCCGAGGUAAUUAAGUAACUUGCUUUCUACAAAACCCAAUUCAAUUGAAGUUGGGAAAUUGUGAUAAACGUAUAUAAAAACAGAAUACAAUGAUUUGCAAAUCAUUUUCAACCCAUAUUCAAUUGAAUAAACUACAAAGACAAGAUAUUUAGUGUUCAAACUCAUAAACUUGAUUUUUUUUUUUUUUUUGCAAAUAAUGAUUAACUCAGAAUUUCAUGGCUGCAACACGUGCCAAAGUAGUUGGGACAGGGGCAUGUUUACCACUGUGUUACAUCACCUUUCCUUUUAACAACACUCAAUAAACGUUUGUAAACUGAGGAGACUUAUUGUUGAAGCUUUGAAGGUGGAAUUCUUUCCCAUUCUUGCUUGAUGUACAGCCUUAGUUGUUCAACAGUCUGGCGUCUCUGUUGUUAUAUUUUACACUUCAUAAUGCACCUCACACUUUCAAUAGGAGACAGGUCUGGACUGCAGGCAGGCCAGUCGAGUACCUGCACUCUUUUACUAUAAAGCCAAGCUGUUGUAACGUGCAGAAUGUGGCUUGGCAUUGUGUUACUGAAAUAAGCAGGAAGGGCGUCCAUGAAAAAGAUGUUGCUUGGAUGGCAGCAUAUGUUGCUCCAAAACUGAUAAUAGUCCGGAUGGUUCUUUUCCUCUUCUGACCGGAGGACACGACUUCCGCUAUUUCCAGAAACAAUUUGAAAUGUGGACUUGUCAGACCACAGAACACUUUUCCACUUUGCAUCAGUCCAUUUUAGAUGAGCUCGGACCCAGAGAAGCAGGCAGCAUUUCUGGAUGUUGUUGAUAAUUGGUUUUCGCUUUGCAUAGUAGAGUAUCAAUGUGCACUUACAGAUGUAGCGACGAACUGUAUUUACUGACAGUGGUUUUCUGAAGUGUUCCUGAGCCCAUGCGGUGAUAUCCUUUACACAUUGAUGUUGGUUUUUGAUACAGUACCGCCUGAGGGAUCAAAGGUCACGGGCAGUCAAUGUUGGUUUCCUGGCCGUGCCGCUUCCGUGCAGUGAUUUCUCCAGAUUCUCUGAACCUUUUGAUGAUAUUAUGGACCGUAGAUUUUGAAAUCCCUAAAUUCCUUGCAACUGUACUUUAAGAAACGUUGUUCUUAAACUGUUUGGCUAUUUGCUCACACAGUUGUUCACAAAGUGGUGAACCUCACCCCAUCCUUGCUUGUGAAUGACUGAGAAUUUUUAGGGAAGCUGCUUUUAUACCCAAUCAUGGCACCCACCUGUUCCCAAUUAGCCUGCUCACCUGUGGGAUGUUCCAAAUAAGUGUUUGAUGAGCAUUCCUCAAAUUUCUCAGUAUUUUUUGCCACCUUUCUCAACUUCUUUGGCACGUGUUGCUGCCAUGAAAUCCUAAGUUAAUUAUUAUUUGCAAAUUAAAAAAAAGUUUAUAAGUUUGAACAUUAAAUAUCUUAUCUUUGUAGUGUAUUCAGCUGAAUAUAGGUUGAGAAGGAUUUGCAAAUCAUUUUAUUCUUUUUUUAUUUACCUUUAUCACAAUUUCCUAAUUUGAAUGGAAUUGGGUUUUGUAUUUGACAUAUCUUUCCAGAUAGUCCACUGCUGUCUGGCUGUGUGAAGGGGUUACAUGAGGUCAUGAUUUGUCGUCUGUUUGGAACAGCGCCACACACAGGAGGAUUUUCCAAGCUGUUUUUAUAGAAUAUAUUAGAUAAUGAAUGACUCAGUGAAAGUCAUGUUUUAGUCUUUGCCCAGAAAUUACUUUUGCCCAGUCAAAUUACUUGCAAUUCAAAACUAUAAUUGUGGACAUUGGAGUUGAUAAUCACAGUAAGUCUGUUACAGGUGCUCUCAAUGCUGUUCAUUCCAGGUUUAAGUUUAACAGCACAUCAGGGGCUUUGAACUCUUUGCAGACCUGACUUACUCUUCAAAAUAAAAGCACCCACAUUCAGUCUGUUAGACAGACUGAGCUGAACACAGUCUCAUCCUCAGUUUUAUUGAGCGAUUUAAAUACUGAAGGUGAGCUCUCCGGCAUCAGCAGCCAUUGAGCUUCAUGUAGGUUUAAAUAAUUACCUCAACUAGACCCUGAUCAAGUUUAAGCAAUAGCCAGAGUGAGCUAACGAUGAUUUAUGAAGGUGGUGUUAAAGGUUUGAGGAGGGCAGGGAGGGACAAUACACACCAACCCCCUGAAUGUAGAUUAAGACCGGUAUAUCUUUAAUUACUAUGAAUCACUGAUUCAGACUAAAAUUGUCCCAAUCAAAAACCAAGGGGACCUACAGAGGACAGGUAGAGGCAAUGUGACUGAUGUGACAGGUUCAGGAGGGGGGACCUCUUCUCUCUCAUAGUGGCCCACAUUUAUCAAUCUUGUGCAGAUCUGAGCGCAGAUCUGAGCACGGGAUUCAUAGUACGAUAGGACACACGUGAGAUUUAUGAAAGGAUUCCUAUCUGACCAAUCCCAGCGUACGUAUGAUCGGGUCUUGAUAAAUGCGGCGGCUGAAAUCGAUCGUCAUUAACAUGUUUACGCCCUUAAAUAUUCGUGGUUCAGAAGCCUCGCCCACUGAGGUCAAACAUGAAAGAGGAGAAAUAUUAGAAAGAUUUGAAACUUUUCCAAGCUGAAAGUGGAUAUCCUCACAUCUGUGGUGGAAACUGACAAGGAUUUUCUCUUUGGAAGCAUCAAAACUGGAAUAAAAGCAGUCCAGAAAACUUCUGUCUGGAGCAGGAUUAUGGUGGCGCUGAACAGCGCUGCUGCAGAAUAGUGGACAGUGGCUGAAGUUUGAAUAAAUCAUUAGUCAAUAAGUUACUCAUGAUGAUAAAUUAAUAUCUCAUACAUGCCUCAUAUUUUUUAUUGCCAUCACAUAGGGUAUGUUGCUCCUAUCAUUGGAAGUAUUUAGUUUUAAUUUGUUGCGUCUUUGUAAUGUAGAGCAGACUGGAGAGUCUGACAGAGGCUGAACAAAAAUGGUCAUUAAUGUCACCAAACAGUGUGUUGCUGCCCCUGAGGCACAUUUUUAUGGAUUUCUAUUGGAUUUUUAUCACUGAUUAAACAGCAAGAGCACUUCCUAAACUUAUACUUUACAUCAGAAUCCAUGGAUAAGGUCCUGUCUCCUCUGUUCAGCACUUAUGUGGAGUCUCUCCUCGUUAUUGUUCUCCGGGCAUCGGGUCAUUGUGCCUAACUGUACUGGCUCAAAUGAUGUCCCACACCCUUUCAGGAGUGUGCAACAACGUCCCUGCUGCUGGGCCAAGACAGAGACACAUGCCUUUUAGGGUCAAACACAACACACUACAGUGGUGUGUGUGCGUAAUGUUAAAACAGCGCUCCUGCUCUGUGGCAGUGUUUUUGGGCAGCGUUAUCAAAUAGGCCUAUUCACUAAGGAUAUAACAAAUUUAUUUUAUUUUAAUGUAUUUACGUCUUAAUUUUUUUAAUGAGAUCUGGGUGAUUAUGCUUAGUGACGGGUUUGAGGUCUGUUCAUGAAUUAUUUUGAGACAGACAUUUGCGAUACCACAGAUCCACACUGACACAAACUUGCGUACACGAUGUCAGACCUGUCUUGAGAUUUGGUCGUAGCGUACGCUCACGUGCAGAUUGAUAAAUGCUGAUCCUCACGUUGCAACUCACGUACGCACAGCUUACGCGAGUUUUCUGCCGUACGCAAACUUGAUAAAUGAGGGCCAAUAUGUGUAGAAAAAAACCCUUAGCACAACUGUGUGUGCUGCAAAAGCCUGCAGCAUCUACCUGUAGUUUGGGGAGGCUGCAACAGCAGCAUACAGCCUUUAACACAGAUCCUGUGCAAGAAAUCAGCUGUCAUUCAAUACAUUUACAUGCACAGUUAAGAUGAGCUACAGAUAUAGUCUAAUUAGGCAACUUAACUAGACUACUGUCCUUGUCCCAAUUUACAUAUACUAGGAAAUCAUCAAAUCAUCAAUAGAAGCAUGUACGCCUCUGCAACAGAAGGUGGUGACACCUAUUCAGGUAUGUCCAUUGGCUUUCAAUCGUCCAAAAAUAGAAAUACAAAGAUACAUUAUUACUGGAUAUUAGAAACUGACAUUAAAAAUAUACAAAACACACAUCAGUAUGUUAAAAAUACUUCUAAAAUGAAUGAAUAACAAGUCAUGUUCAUUUGGUUAUGCAAUACCACACAAGACAGGGUUGCACUGAACAUCGGCACCACUAUAAUUGUGUCAUUAUCCCAAAGCAUAUGGCUGA